AUGCAGAUGAUGAGUCCCAAACAGGACGAAACGCUUGUCCUGAAC
rnacentral:hammerhead_ribozyme from 1 species